rnacentral:rRNA from 1 species
AGAGUUUGAUCAUGGCUCAGGAUGAACGCUAGCGGCAGGCCUAAUACAUGCAAGUCGAACGAUAUUUUCCAGCUUGCUGGAAGAAAAAGUGGCGCACGGGUGCGUAACGCGUAUGCAACCUACCUUAAUCAGGGGGAUAGCCCGGAGAAAUCCGGAUUAACACCGCAUAAAAACACAGGAUAGCAUUAUCCAAUGUUCAAAUAUUUAUAGGAUUGAGAUGGGCAUGCGUGUCAUUAGCUAGUUGGCGGGGUAACGGCCCACCAAGGCGACGAUGACUAGGGGAUCUGAGAGGAUGACCCCCCACACUGGUACUGAGACACGGACCAGACUCCUACGGGAGGCAGCAGUAAGGAAUAUUGGUCAAUGGAGGCAACUCUGAACCAGCCAUGCCGCGUGCAGGAAGACUGCCCUAUGGGUUGUAAACUGCUUUUAUCCGGGAAUAAACCUCUUUACGUGUAGAGAGCUGAAUGUACCGGAAGAAUAAGGAUCGGCUAACUCCGUGCCAGCAGCCGCGGUAAUACGGAGGAUCCAAGCGUUAUCCGGAUUUAUUGGGUUUAAAGGGUGCGUAGGCGGCCUGUUAAGUCAGGGGUGAAAGACGGUAGCUCAACUAUCGCAGUGCCCUUGAUACUGAUGGGCUUGAAUGGACUAGAGGUAGGCGGAAUGAGACAAGUAGCGGUGAAAUGCAUAGAUAUGUCUCAGAACACCGAUUGCGAAGGCAGCUUACUAUGGUCUUAUUGACGCUGAGGCACGAAAGCGUGGGGAUCAAACAGGAUUAGAUACCCUGGUAGUCCACGCCCUAAACGAUGAACACUCGCUGUUGGCGAUACACAGUCAGCGGCU